GGGUUGUUAGCUCAAUUGGUUAGAGCAGCUGACUGUUAAUCAGAAGGUUGCAGGUUCAAGUCCUGCACUUCCCG
rnacentral:tRNA from 1 species